CCGCUGGGAGGGCGCUCCAGAUCUGUUGGCGCCCGCGGGCUGCCCUGGACACCCCUGGAACCUUCCGCGGGGCUCUGCGGUGCGCGGUGGCGCGCUGGGCCCUGGGUGGGCGGGGCCGCACCCCCGCGAUCGCCUUUUUAAAGAAGGGAAGAGCCCCUGCUGUUUAACUUGAGAAGUGGUGGCUCUAGGUUGUGUUGUGAGACUCCUUAUUUGUGUUGUAAAUUUGGAUGGAGGUAGAGAUGCCUCACUUAAUACUGAGUUCUCAGUCCGGAAAGCAGGAAAAAAGGCAAGAUGAACUGAAGAAAAUGAGUCUUUUUCCGAAGGAGAUGGGAAGAUGGAGAAGAUGAGAUGUGAGAAGAUAAGAACAAAGGAAGUAGAGAUGAGGAUCACCUAUGUUGACUUCAAGUCACAGGCUGAUGCAGAGAGAGCCUUGGAAGGGAAGCAAGGAACAAAGAUUGGAGGGCUUGCCAUAGCUCUGGACCACGUUGGAGGGAAAAGCCAAGGCCAAGAGGAGACAGGCGAGAAGAACAGCACGUGGAGAACUUCUUUUGCUGCUGCAUCAGAAAAUCUGGUGGCCCUGGGGCUGCAUUCCUACAUGUCUCCAGUCACCUGCACAGGAAAAUCAGAGGCUUCCUCUUAGCUGUUUGUUACAACCCCCACCAUUCGGUAAGUUCCUCCCUAAUGGAAGGAGCGAACAGCACACUUAACACCUUGAGAGAGUAGAAUCAGUUCUUUUCUCUUGCAAAGUACUACUUUUCUCCUAUUAGUGAAGGUGACCUGUUAAUAUUCCUUCUGCAUGUGUCUCUUUCAAAAGUGGGAAAUUGAAAGCUGGAACAAGAAAGCCACACAUUUCAAGAAAAAUGGGAGCGUGCUUAUUUCUUUGUGGAGGGUAAGAAUGUCCGCAGUGUUCAAUAAGCAAAGAGGGUGUGUCUGUGUGGGAGGAGUGUAACCCCAGACGCCGUUAUGAAACAAACCACAGCAGGAACCAUGAUGGACACGCAGAAAAGAUGCGUGAUAAAAAGCUAAAUGAACUGAAAAAAAAGACUAAAAUUUCAAUAUGACGCCCUUUUGAAUAUGAAUAAAAUAAGUGAUGCGGCUACGAAAUGCAGUUAUGUAUUAAGUGAGAAAAUUGCCUGGGCAUCCAAACCUUUUACAGACGGCGAGUUUAUAAAGGAAUGUCUCUGAGUGCUGCGGAGUGCCUUGAGCAGAGACAAGCAUUUGCCAACAUGAGCCUAAGUGCUAAUAUUGUUCCACAGCACGUUGGUGAGAUGGCUGAGAACUUAUGGACAAGUUGCAAGGAAGAGGUAAAUCAUUUGUGGCUUUCUCCAUUGCAGCUCAGGAAGGAGCUGAUGGAGAUAAUGCCCUUCAACUGGCUGUAUUCUUUCGUGGUGUUGAUGAAGCUUUUGAUGUGACGGAAGAGCUUUUGGACAUGGUACCCAUGACAGGCACCCCAUCAGGAAAUGAUUUAUUCGUAUGUGUGGAGGAAAGUCUUAAAAAAUUUAAUGUAGACUGGUCGAAAUUAGUCAGUGUUAGCACAGAUGGCAAUUCUACACCGGCUGGUGUUGAACAACUUGUUACAGAACUUAAAUCUAAAGUGUCAGGGCUUUGCAGAGACACAGAGCUUAAGUCUGGGCAUGGCCCCAUUCUCCAGGAGUCACUUAGUGCUAAAAAGAUAAAAAUGGAUCAUGUCAUGGACAUGGUAAUUCACACCAUAAGCUCUAUACGUUCCCAUGGCUCAGACCACAGAGAAUUCAGUGCUUUGUUCAGUGAGUUAGAUGCACAAUAUGGAAGCCUGUUCUCCUCCAUAGGACUUAACAGGGCUGAGUCGUGGCAUGGUGCUAAGACAGUUUUUGGAACUGUUGGAAAAAAUUGAUUUUUUUCAUGUCUUCUAAAGGAAAAUCUGUUCCCCGGCUUACUAGCAAAGAUUGGGUUAAAGACUUAGCCUUUCUGGUCUACAUUAUGACUUACCUGAACAUGUCAGGUAUCUCCCUGCAAAGGCAUUCAAAAGUGGUUACACAGACGUAUGAUUCAGUUUGCUUGCUCCUAAUGAAGCUGUGUCUUAGGGAGACCCAUUUGGCAGAGAGCAAUCUGGCCCACUUCCCUACACUGAAGUUCAUUUCCGAACAUGAGAGAGAUGGCCUGAGCUAUAUUCCCAGAAUUACAGGGUUGAAGACUGAGUUCCAAAAACGGUUCUCUGGUUUCAAACUUGAUGAAAACGAGCUGAGGUUGUUCAGUUCACCUUUCUCAAUUACCAUGAACGAUGCGAGCAAGGAGCUACAGAUGGAGGCUAUUGAAUACAGUGCAACACGAUACCAAAAACGAAACAUGACUAUGUCAGAAUCCUAGAAUUCUACAAACACCCUGGGAAUGGUUACCCUAAAUAUAAAAACCAUUGUGUAAAGAUUCUGUCCAUGUUUGGAAGUACCUACGUUUGUGAGCAGCUAUUUUGAGUCAUGAAACAACAGAAAACUAAGUGCUGCCCCCAGUUAAAGAUUCAGGGUGCAGUUCCUGUACCAGAGUCACGCCCUGACAUUGACUGACACCUUGGGGCUUAAGAAAGGAAUGUCACAUUUUGGAUUUCAAAUCUAAGGAGUAGUACAUUAUGAAACUGAUUAUUUCUAUUUCCAAAUUGUAUUUGUUCGAUGUCAAAUUUAAACUACAAUCUCUGGCAUCCU